UACGUAGGGGGCGAGCGUUGUCCGGAUUCAUUGGGCGUAAAGCGCGCGCAGGCGGUGGCGUGAGCCCGGCGUGAAAGCCCCCAGCUCAACUGGGGGGAGGCCGUCGGAGACCGCGGCACUUGAGGCCGGUAGGGGAGAGCGGAAUUCCCGGUGUAGUGGUGGGAAUGCGUAGAUAGUCGGGAGGAACACCAGUGGCGGAAGGCGGCUCUCUGGACCGGUUCUGACGCUCAGGCGCGAAAGCGUGGGGAGCGAUCGG
rnacentral:rRNA from 1 species